CAGCAGCCGCGGUAAUACGAAGGGGGCUAGCGUUGCUCGGAAUGACUGGGCGUAAAGGGCGCGUAGGCGGAUUGUUUAGUUAGGCGUGAAAUUCCUGGGCUUAACCUGGGGACUGCGCUUAAUACAGGCAGUCUAGAGUGAGGAAGAGGGUUGUGGAAUUCCCAGUGUAGAGGUGAAAUUCGUAGAGAUUGGGAAGAACACCGGUGGCGAAGGCGGCCAACUGGACUGGUAUUGACGCUGAGGCGCGAAAGCGUGGGGAGCAAACAGGAUUAGAUACCCCAGUAGUCCCUGUCUCUUAUAC
rnacentral:rRNA from 1 species